rnacentral:lncRNA from 10 species
UAAUUUUUUAAAGACAAAGUCUUGCUCUGUUGCCCAGGCUGCAGUGCAGUGGCAUGAUCAUAGCUCACUGCAGCCUCGAACACCUGAGUUCAAGCAAUUCUCCUGCCUCAGCCAACGGAGUAGCUGGGACUAUAGGGGCGUGCCACCAUGCUUGCUAAUUUUAAAAAUAUAUGUAUUUUUGGUAGAGAUGGUGUUUCCCUAUGUUGCCGAUGUUGGUCUUGAACUCUUGGCCUAAGCAAUCCCUCCCACCUUGGCCUCCCAAAGCGCUGAGAUUCCAGACGUGAGCCACCAUGUUUGGCCCCAGGAAAUUUAUAACUAGGACAAUAAAUGAAGGCACAAGAGACCAAUCCCAGUUGUUCUAUCCUCUACUAUUCUGUCAACCAACUUUCAAGAAACUAACAUUCGUGACAUUUAUAAGAUGGUGGCCUCUGCUGCAUGCCAAUCUUGUGAAGUACACACAGGGGCAUGCCAGGUAUAAGACAGUAAUUACAGUCUCCAACACAGAACUUCCCGGAAUGGAAUCACGGCUCAAAGAAUCCCACAAGGAAAGACAAGCAAGUGAGCGUGAAAAGCCAGAUGUGAAAGGCAGCAGAAAUGCUUCACGUGAAGCAAAGACACCCAACGGAAGCAUUGGAUUCCAAGACAUUGAAUUCCUUGAAAGGAGAGAUUUAAAAGUACCUAGAAUACAACCUUCCAUAUGACAUUUAUUAAAAUUGGACAACUAUACUUUGAGAAAAUGAUUGAUAUGAAUUACAGUGUGAUUGACCUAUGGUCUCAGAUCCAAACCGUAAACCCUACACAUUCCCACGGCUAAUCGUUUUAGGAAUAGACCAAUCCCCAGAUAGUAAGUGAAGACUCAAUGGAUUUUGGAAGUCAGUUUGGCACAAAGACCCUGGAACAGCUUCCGGGGCUAGAGGUGGAGUUUCCUGUUGCUGAGGUGGAAGAUCACGAGACAAUCAAGAAACAUGCCUCUUCCAUGGCUUGAGGUCAAGUCUAAGCUUGCUCAGUAUCUGUUACUCUCUGAUUGAACUUCCCUUUAAUUCUCCCAUCAGCCAAGCUUUGUCUCUGAGGUCUUAUAGGAAGUUUUUGGCAAAGUGGCAGAGGUGGUGAAGGACAUCAUGAAAAACCUGGAGCCAAUGAAGCAGAAAGACUUAUUCUGGAAUACAUGGUGUGGCAUCCUAGAAAACUCUAGAUAUGACAGGUAAAAACCUGUGGAGGGAAGAGCGCGUUAACAUUCAACAUUGAAGUAAGUUAACCUCAACGAAUGGUUGUUUGGUUGACAAAAAAUAGACCCAAACAGAGUGAUAUUCAGCCAGUAUCAUUCAAAUACCUGUGGGUUAUCUGAACAACAUUCUUGCUUUCAAUUUCUUAAUGCUCAAAUUGCUUAGACAUUUUUUCUUUCCCAAACAGGUGGGUAAAUCUAACUUUUUUGGUGUCUCUCUUGGACAUCCCAGUUAAUGCUGAUAGUUAAAUUUAUACUAGACAAUCCCAUAGGAAGCUGCCCCUCAGAGAUCCGCCUGCUUCCUGGAGACACUUCUGACAUUCUUCAAAAUUGCCAGAUAACAUUUGAAUAGCUCUGCGUUAGAAUAGCCAAUAACCCCUGCAUUAGAAUAGCCAAUGUAAUCACUGAUUCUUCAGCUGCACUCCAGAGCCUUAGGGAAUAAGUUGCAUGAAAAAUUUUAUGUGUAUAUAAUAUAUAAUUAUAUAUAUAUCAUCUACAUAUAUUUAUAUAAUAUAUAAUUAUUAUUUUAUCUACAUAUAUUUAUAUAAUAUAAAUAUAUAAACAUUAGUUUAUAUAGUUAUAGAGAACAGAGGGCAUAGCAUGGGUGAGUGCCCCCAGAGAGAAUAAGGAUGGAACAAAUAUAUAAUAAAU